rnacentral:rRNA from 1 species
GACGGACCACCCAAACGUUAUUCGGAAUCACUGGGCUUAAAGGGUGCGUAGGCGGGUCUUUAAGUCAGGGGUGAAAUCCUGGAGCUCAACUCCAGAACUGCCUUUGAUACUGAGGAUCUUGAGUUCGGGAGAGGUGAGUGGAACUGCGAGUGUAGAGGUGAAAUUCGUAGAUAUUCGCAAGAACACCAGUGGCGAAGGCGGCUCACUGGCCCGAUACUGACGCUGAGGCACGAAAGCGUGGGGAGCAAACAGG